GCCGUUGUAGCUCAGUCGGUAGAGCAGCGCCCUCGUAAUGCGCAGGUCAUCGGUUCAAGUCCGAUCAACGGCUCCA
rnacentral:tRNA from 1 species